AAAGGAGAGAUGUUGGAGGUGGAAAAAUGAAGGAAGCUUCGCCUCUCAAGAAGGAAUAUGCUGUGGAGGCAAAGAUGAACUUUUAUGAACUGUUUCAGAGUGUGUUUUGUGUUUAAUAUUGUGUUUUCUUUAUUUAUUGUAAUAUUCCCCUCAUUAUUAUACCCUAGUUUUCCAGAACUUUCCCUCAUCCCUCAUGGCCCUAAACCCUGUCCUCUUGUUGGUUAAUUUUUGGUGCAAUGCAGCACCUUUCCCUAUAUGGUUUUACCACCCUGUUAAUUUACAUACUCCAUCCUUGCU